UAAAUAUUAGAUUAGUGCCAAAGUAAUCACUGUUUUUGCCAUUACGUUCAAUGGCGCAAAAACCGCAAUUACUUUUGCACCAAUCUAAUA
rnacentral:miRNA from 1 species